GACGAACGCUGGCGGCGUGCUUAACACAUGCAAGUCGAACGGAAAGGCCCUGCUUUUGUGGGGUGCUCGAGUGGCGAACGGGUGAGUAACACGUGAGUAACCUGCCCUUGACUUUGGGAUAACUUCAGGAAACUGGGGCUAAUACCGGAUAGGAGCUCCUGCUGCAUGGUGGGGGUUGGAAAGUUUCGGCGGUUGGGGAUGGGCUCGCGGCUUAUCAGCUUGUUGGUGGGGUAGUGGCUUACCAAGGCUUUGACGGGUAGCCGGCCCGAGAGGGUGACCGGCCACAUUGGGACUGAGAUACGGCCCAGACUCCUACGGGAGGCAGCAGUGGGGAAUAUUGCACAAUGGGCGGAAGCCUGAUGCAGCAACGCCGCGUGCGGGAUGACGGCCUUCGGGUUGUAAACCGCUUUCGCCUGUGACGAAGCGUGAGUGACGGUAAUGGGUAAAGAAGCACCGGCUAACUACGU
rnacentral:rRNA from 1 species